UACGAAGGGUGCAAGCGUUACUCGGAAAUUACUGGGCGUAAAGGGUGCGUAGGUGGUUGUUUUAAGUCUGCUGUGAAAGCCCCGGGCUCAACCUGGGAAUGGCAGUGGAUACUGGACAGCUAGAGUGCGGUAGAGGGUAGUGGAAUUCCCGGUGUAGCAGUGAAAUGCGUAGAGAUCGGGAGGAACACCGGUGGCGAAGGCGGGUCUCUGGGCCGAUACUGACGCUGAGGAGCGAAAGCGUGGGGGAGCAAACAGG
rnacentral:rRNA from 1 species